ACCCUCUCAGGGUCACACCUGGUGAGUUUCCACUGCUCUACCAGUCUUGGCUAUGGGAGAGAGAGUCAAGCAGAGGCCUAGCCAUUGCAUUCCUAGCUUGGUCAGUGGCUAGAGGGUGGAAGACAAUCUGCUACAAGU